rnacentral:rRNA from 1 species
GGUUAAGCGACUAAGCGUACACGGUGGAUGCCCUGGCAGUCAGAGGCGAUGAAGGACGUGCUAAUCUGCGAUAAGCGCCGGUAAGGUGAUAUGAACCGUUAUAACCGGCGAUUUCCGAAUGGGGAAACCCAGUGUGAUUCGUCAC